UACAGAGGUCUCAAGCGUUGUUCGGAUUCAUUGGGCGUAAAGGGUGCGUAGGCGGCGCGGUAAGUCGGGUGUGAAAUCUCGGAGCUUAACUCCGAAACUGCAUUCGAUACUGCCGUGCUUGAGGACUGGAGAGGAGACUGGAAUUUACGGUGUAGCGGUGAAAUGCGUAGAUAUCAGGAGGAACACCAAUGGCGAAGGCAGCACUCUGGGACGGUACUGACGCUGAGACGCGAAAGCGUGGGGAGCAAACAGG
rnacentral:rRNA from 1 species